rnacentral:rRNA from 1 species
UACGUAGGGUGCGAGCGUUGUCCGGAAUUACUGGGCGUAAAGAGCUCGUAGGUGGUUUGUCGCGUUGUUCGUGAAAACUCACAGCUUAACUGUGGGCGUGCGGGCGAUACGGGCAGACUGGAGUACUGCAGGGGAGACUGGAAUUCCUGGUGUAGCGGUGGAAUGCGCAGAUAUCAGGAGGAACACCGGUGGCGAAGGCGGCCCUCUGGACGGAUACUGACGCUGAGACGCGAAAGCGUGGGGAGCAAACGGG